CACGUAGGAGCCAAGCGUUAUCCGAAUUCACUGGGCGUAAAGCGCGUGCAGGCGGCUCGGUAAGUUGGAUGUGAAAGCUCCUGGCUCAACUGGGAGAGGACGUUCAAUACUGUCGGGCUAGAGGACGGCAGAGGGAGGUGGAAUUCCCGGUGUAGUGGUGAAAUGCGUAGAUAUCGGGAGGAACACCAGUGGCGAAGGCGGCCUUCUGGGCCGAUCCUGACGCUCAGACGCGAAAGCUAGGGGAGCGAACGGGAUUAGAAACCCCGGUAGUCCUAGCUGUAAACGAUGUAGACUUGGUGUGGGUGGUGUGAAAGCUAUCUGUACCGAAGCAAACGCGAUAAGUCUACCGCCUGGGGACUACGGCCGCAAGGUUAAA
rnacentral:rRNA from 1 species